UACGGAGGGUGCAAGCGUUAUCCGGAUUCACUGGGUUUAAAGGGUGCGUAGGCGGGCAGGUAAGUCCGCGGUGAAAUCCUGGGGCUUAACCCCAGAACUGCCGUUGAUACUAUCUGUCUUGAAUACUAUGGAGGUGAGCGGAAUAUGUCAUGUAGCGGUGAAAUGCUUAGAUAUGACAUAGAACACCAAUUGCGAAGGCAGCUCACUACACAGCCAUUGACGCUGAGGCACGAAAGCGUGGGGAUCAAACAGG
rnacentral:rRNA from 1 species